rnacentral:ribozyme from 13 species
AAAAAGAAAAAAAAAGAAAAAAAGAAAAAUGGGAGGUCCUUCUUGGAAACUGACCCUCUCUUUCGCCUUCUCUUUCUUCAUCGCAGCAACAAUCCUCUUUCUCAUCUCUUCUCCUUCUUCUUCUUC